AGUGAACGCUGGCGGUAGGCCUAACACAUGCAAGUCGAACGGCAGCACAGAGGAGCUUGCUCCUUGGGUGGCGAGUGGCGGACGGGUGAUGAAUACAUCGGAAUCUACUUUUUCGUGGGGGAUAACGUAGGGAAACUUACGCUAAUACCGCAUACGACCUACGGGUGAAAGCAGGGGAUCUUCGGACCUUGCGCGAUUGAAUGAGCCGAUGUCGGAUUAGCUAGUUGGCGGGGUAAAGGCCCACCAAGGCGACGAUCCGUAGCUGGUCUGAGAGGAUGAUCAGCCACACUGGAACUGAGACACGGUCCAGACUCCUACGGGAGGCAGCAGUGGGGAAUAUUGGACAAUGGGCGCAAGCCUGAUCCAGCCAUACCGCGUGGGUGAAGAAGGCCUUCGGGUUGUAAAGCCCUUUUGUUGGGAAAGAAAUCCAGCCGGCUAAUACCUGGUUGGGAUGACGGUACCCAAAGAAUAAGCACCGGCUAACUUCGUGCCAGCCGCCGCAGUAAAAC
rnacentral:rRNA from 1 species